GUAGGUGAACCUGCGGAAGGAUCAUUAUCAAUUUAACAGUUCGUGGGAUAGACGCUCGUAAGGCUACCCUUCCCACGCUGUUUCAACCCUUUGUCUUUUGCGUACUGUAUGUUUCCUCGGCGGGUUCGCCCACCAUAGGACAAACCAUAAACCUUUUGUAAUUGCAAUCAGCGUCAGUAAAAAAAAUUAAUAAUUACAACUUUUAACAACGGAUCUCUUGGCUCUG
rnacentral:misc_RNA from 1 species